UGCUGAGGGAAUCGAGUUUAUGU
rnacentral:miRNA from 1 species